GAGACCUUAGUUUAAAGGUAAAAUACGAGACUUUUAAUCUUUGUUAUAUGGGUUCGAAUCCCAUAGGUCUUA
rnacentral:tRNA from 1 species